GUUAUGAGCUACUCCCUUCCUCGUUUAACGUUUGAUCGUUCGUCUUAUUUAAAAAUUUUUAUAAUUAGUAUUUUUAUUGCUAUUAGAUGAUAAAACAUGAAUAGCACUUUAUGUGUGACUAAUUUUUUUAUUUUUUUCACAAAUUUUUCAAAUAAGACGAACGGUCAAACAUUGAACACGAAUAUCCACGGCUGCACUUAUU
rfam:Oryza barthii chromosome 3, whole genome shotgun sequence.